rnacentral:rRNA from 1 species
UGAGAUGUUGGGUUAAGUCCCGCAACGAGCGCAACCCUUGAUCUUAGUUGCCAGCAUUUAGUUGGGCACUCUAAGGUGACUGCCGGUGACAAACCGGAGGAAGGUGGGGAUGACGUCAAAUCAUCAUGCCCCUUAUGACCUGGGCUACACACGUGCUACAAUGGAUGGUACAAAGGGCUGCAAGACCGCGAGGUUUAGCCAAUCCCAUAAAACCAUUCUCAGUUCGGAUUGCAGGCUGCAACUCGCCUGCAUGAAGCCGGAAUCGCUAGUAAUCGCGGAUCAGCAUGCCGCGGUGAAUACGUUCCCGGGCCUUGUACACACCGCCCGUCACACCACGAGAGUUUGUAACACCCGAAGUCGGUGGGGUAACCGUAAGGAGCCAGCCGCCUAAGGUGGGACAGAUGAUUGGGGUGAAGUCGUAACAAGGUAA